GCCUCGGUGGUUUAGUGCUCAAGACGCUCGCCUGGUAAUCAGGAGGGCGUGGGUUUAAUCCCAGCCGAGGCA
rfam:Asian citrus Psyllid, Diaphorina citri - Florida Strain, whole genome shotgun sequence.